rnacentral:tRNA from 1 species
CAAGGUAAAACUUAUUAGUAAAGUAUUUCAUUUACACUGAAAAUUGUCUUGUGCAAUUCAAGAUGUCUUGA